rnacentral:misc_RNA from 1 species
CCAACAGAACCUGGUAGCACAAAAUGAAUUACAACUGAGCUAUAUAGAGUUGUGUACAAAGAAAUACAACUGCCUAAACAGAAUUUGAACUAACAACUAACUGAUUCAGUAAUUCUUUAACCAACUUUUACACAAUCUGACUUUAACUUAGAUCUAACAGCUUAAGCAUCCUUUACUAAUUCUUCUCCAUUGUAUUCAUUUUGUGCUACCAGGUUCUGUUGG